rnacentral:rRNA from 1 species
AGCCUGACGGCAGGCCUACACAUGCAAGUCGAGCGGAUGACGGGAGCUUGCUCCUUGAUUCAGCGGCGGACGGGUGAGUAAUGCCUAGGAAUCUGCCUGGUAGUGGGGGACAACGUUUCGAAAGGAACGCUAAUACCGCAUACGUCCUACGGGAGAAAGCAGGGGACCUUCGGGCCUUGCGCUAUCAGAUGAGCCUAGGUCGGAUUAGCUAGUUGGUGGGGUAAUGGCUCACCAAGGCGACGAUCCGUAACUGGUCUGAGAGGAUGAUCAGUCACACUGGAACUGAGACACGGUCCAGACUCCUACGGGAGGCAGCAGUGGGGAAUAUUGGACAAUGGGCGAAAGCCUGAUCCAGCCAUGCCGCGUGUGUGAAGAAGGUCUUCGGAUUGUAAAGCACUUUAAGUUGGGAGGAAGGGCAGUAAGUUAAUACCUUGCUGUUUUGACGUUACCGACAGAAUAAGCACCGGCUAACUCUGUGCCAGCAGCCGCGGUAAUACAGAGGGUGCAAGCGCUAAUCGGAAUUACUGGGCGUAAAGCGCGCGUAGGUGGUUUGUUAA